AAAGACUCAAUUCCUGAGUUUCCGUGUCCAACGUUUGAAUGUUCGUCUUAUAUGAAAUUUCUUUAUGAUUAGUAUUUUUAUUGUUGUUAGAUGACAAAACAUGAAUAAUACUUUACGCGUGACUUAUUUUUUUAAAUUUUUUCAUAAUUUUUUCAAAUAACACGGACGGUCAAACGUUGGACACGGAAACUCAGAAAUUGAGUUAUU
rfam:Oryza meridionalis cultivar OR44 (W2112) chromosome 6, whole genome shotgun sequence.